ACAAAAUCAUGUCGUGGGCCUGGAUAACUAUAAUAAAAAAUGAACUGUAUAGAAAGGUAUCGAUGGAAUAGGAGACAAUAAAAGCGGAUGUAAGUCGCCCCCUUGAGUUGUAUACAGAGACAGAGUUGUUAUUAAACAGAUGAAAGUUUGUGGCGCACUGGUGAACACAUGUCUGGUCGAAAACUGGUGUAUACCCCAGUGCGCAUGUUCAUGCGUUGUGGUAAAAAACAACGACUGGAAGAAAGAGAAUAAGAAAACUUGUGAACUGCCAUCAACGCUACCACAAAGGGCAUGCUCAUUCGCUGCCGUAUAACCAAUGACUGCAAGAAGGAGAAUAAGUAUUCUUGUGACUUGCCAUCAACGCUACCGUAAAGGGCUGAACACCUCUGGUCCUGAAACUGCAGACAAAAUGCCAAACGAAAUCCCUAUACUCGGUACGGAGAUCGGCGGCUCUGAAGGCCAAAACAGAAUGAGCGCAUUAAGUGUCUGGUUGUAAAAAUACAACUCUGCAUAAAAAUUCCACAAAAGCGGAAAAGUUGAAAAUUUGUCAACUUUGACGCUUGAAAGCGAGCGUUAUUCCAUGUUGCCACACGUGGAGUAGUGUUUCUGCUCGUCAAAGUUAAAAAUGUUUAACUUUUGCGAGUCGCUUUUUUAUCAUUUGUUUUCAGAGUUGCAUUUUUCAAUGCGAUGCUCCUUAAUGCGCUCAUUCUGUUUAGGCCUUUAGGGUUAUAUCAUUCUAUCGAAAAGUGGCGGAACCUGUAGCCUUCAUUUUUAUCUGGAGUGAUCCCGAUGAACCUAAAGGAUGAGACUUGGUGAAAAUGAAAGAGAUGGAGUUCCAAACGAACCAUACUAGAGUAGACUAGUGAAACAUGACAACAAAGGUGGUUGCAUGAAAGCAGGAAGAUGCAGGUGGGCGUGAAGACUUAUUCUCAAUGUACGGAUGUAAAGAAAUAGAAAAUACAGCUACUUCAACUAUUACAGUACAAAGAUGUUUAGGGGUCAUGGUUACUUCCGGAAAAACUUACAUAGAAAAAGCAAAUGCUAUUCUAGCACGUGUAUUUAUGAAGCACUGUAUCGAAAGAUUCAAGAAACUGGAAACGGCGAUUGGCUGGAAUAAUAAUUUGGAGAAUGUUGGAGAGCAACUGGUAGUUGCUAAAAAGAUUCGCUGAAGAAGAAGAUGGACCUGAACGUAAUGGUAUAGAGUAUGAAUGUGGAGGCCUGCAGGCAGACGCAAUGAAGAUAACAAGGAUAUCAACUAUCCACCAGUUAUGGGAUUUACCAAAAAGUAAAACGAAUAUCCCGAUGUAUGUGAAAUUCAUAAGAUUAUACCUAUGCCGAAGGUCAGAAUGCCAAUAGAACGGUCUGCUGGCUAUUAAUUAAUGUAUUCGAAAAAAUUCUUCAUCGACAGUUAUCAGUGUACUUUGACCAAAAUAGCUUGCCUAAUCCCAGUCAAUAUGGGUUUCGAAGAGGGUGCCUUACCGAAGAAGCUACAAACAAUGUUGUCAACUUUUGUAUGUAAAUUACUAGAUGAUGGACAUAGCGGAGUUGCAGUUUUUCACCUAACUAAAGGCAUUUUAUAUGAUCGGCCAAGACAUUAUGAU